UGAAACCUUGUGAUUUUCCACAAUUCAAACAUGGACGUCUGUAUUAUGAAGAAAGCCGGAGACCCUACUUCCCAGUACCUAUAGGAAAGGAGUACAGCUAUUACUGUGACAACGGGUUUACAACGCCUUCACAGUCAUACUGGGACUACCUUCGUUGCACAGUAAAUGGGUGGGAGCCUGAAGUUCCAUGCCUCAGGCAAUGUAUUUUCCAUUAUGUGGAAUAUGGAGAAUCUUUAUACUGGCAAAGAAGAUAUAUAGAGGGUCAGUCUGCAAAAGUCCAGUGUCACAGUGGCUAUAGUCUUCCAAAUGGUCAAGAUACAAUAUUAUGUACAGAAAAUGGCUGGUCCCCUCCUCCCAAAUGCGUCCGUAUCAAAACUGAUUGUGACAACUUGCCCACAUUUGAAAUUGCCAAACCGAC
rnacentral:lncRNA from 1 species